rnacentral:rRNA from 1 species
AAGCAGCGGAGCAUGUGGUUUAAUUCGAAGCAACGCGAAGAACCUUACCAGGUCUUGACAUCCUCUGACCAUCUGAGAGAUCAGACUUCCCUUUCGGGGACAGAGAGACAGGUGGUGCAUGGUUGUCGUCAGCUCGUGUCGUGAGAUGUGGGUUAAGUCCCGCAACGAGCGCAACCCCUGUGGUUAGUUUGCCAUCAUUUAGUUGGGCACUCUAAGCAGACUGCCGUGGAUAACACGGAGGAAGGUGGGGACGACGUCAAAUCAUCAUGCCCCUUAUGACCUGGGCUACACACGUGCUACAAUGGUCUGAACAGAGGGCUGCGAAACCGCGAGGUGAAGCUAGUCCCUUAAAACAGAUCUCAGUUCGGAUUGCAGGCUGCAACUCGCCUGCAUGAAGUUGGAGUUGCUAGUAAUCGCAGAUCAGAAUGCUGCGGUGAAUGCGUUCCCGGGUCUU